GCGGCUCAAAAUGGAGGCGGCCGGCCCGGUGGGGCAGCGGCGGGGGCAGGGAUGCCACGAGCGGUCUCGCUGCGGGACGCCCCGCCGGGUGGCGGGAUGCUGGCCACGCCGCUCUCGGAGCGCGGUGGUGCGGAGCCGUGCGUCCGGACACCCGCACAGGUGCCCGUCCUACACUUAACCUCUCUGCCCGGUCCUCCGAGCGCGGCCGGAGCUGCCCCGCGGGCGGGGCGCUGCCGCUCCGUGAGGGGCCGAAGGGCCGAUCAUCCUCGGAGCCGGGACGAGGAUCGAUGCGCCGCCCGCUUAGGCGUGACUGAGGAGGAGAUGCGGCCAGGGGAGAAGGGGAAAUUUUCCACUGUCGUCACUGCUCGGCACGGUGACUGCCGUGCCAGACCUGCAGGGCAGAGCAGGCUGCUCUGGGAUGGGAGCGGGGCCGUGAAUCCUGAGGGCCAGCUCCUUUAGGAAGGACCUGAAGAAGCAGCAGCAGCAGCGUUGGUCGCACACGAAGCCCAGCAACGAUCCCUCUGACCCCCCUGCACAUCAGUGGAGCUGUGGCUGUCCCCUCCCGCAGCCCCCACAGGAAGCCCUGCAUCCAACCCACAGCGUCCAGCCCUGACGGCACAUCGGGUUCUGGAAACUACAUCGGGGAGGAGGUUAGGUCAGCACGAGUUGGAUCUGGGCUCAGGGCCCGGAAACCCAGCCCGAGGUGAGCCUGACUGGGGAGCUAAGACCAAGGAUGAUCCUUUGUGCUUAUGCGGUUGAGAGACCGCUUUGGGAAUCGACCCAAGGCUGUGGGGUCUGCCUGCUCCUGCAGAUCUCUGUGGGGGUGAGGAGCUGCAAAGGGCACGAUCUGCUGGGACCCGUUCAGGCGGCCGUGAUGCAUGCACAUGGCUGCACUCAGACUGUCUGACCUGAGGGCCUGGUCCAGGCUCAUCCCCGUGAAGACGAAGAACUUCAGAUAUUCCCCUGCCACCAUCUUGCUGAACUCGUUGCUGAAAGAAAAAGUGGGGAGCGAGAGUGGGAUCGACCAGGCUGGGGGGACAUCAAAAUGCAGACAGGGAUGGGAUGGAUUCUGGUGGGCUGGAUACCUCCCAGGAGACAUGAUGGCAGGGCUGUGGGAAGCAUGCUGGAGACAGAGGCACCCCAGCAUCCCAUGAAACUCAGAGGCGUCACCCACAGAUCCAGUGGGAAUACUCAGUAUGUCAGCUAGCGGGUUCCCUGUUCUCUGACACCUUGCUGAAGGUGCCUGAGAUGCAGAGCAAGUAGGAAGGUACCAAAACCUGGAUGUUGCCUUUAGAGGAACACCUGGUAUAGACAAGCUGUCACAGGGACAGGUCUCUGGGGUCCUGCCAGUGGUUCCCUGACAGCCCAGUGCCCAGAAGGGAAGCAGCUGUGGGUACGCUGGGGUUGCUGCAGGGAGGAAUGAUGCAGGAUGGGCCAUUCCUUGUGAAUACCCACACGUACUUCUUCCCCAAGUGGCGGGCUACAUCUGCUUUUUUAAAGCCAUCCAGGUUGUAGAGCCGCUUGGCCAGGCGUUUGGCAGCCUCCAGAUCAGCCUUGUGCCCAUUGGAGAGCGUGUCGGUGCUGCCCAGGGCCAGUUGCUCCAUGCUGUCCAUCUCCGAGUCCGAGUCAGAAACCAGCUGGCUCAGGGGGUGCUCGCUGCAACUGGAAGGGACACACCGCGUUAGUUUGCCCACAGGUCCCCUGCUUGCUCAGCCUCUCAGGGGAUGCAGGUCCUCACCCUGCUUCGGGGGCCAGCAGCUCUGCUGGGCCAUACUGGUUAGAGGUGCUCAGGGGUCAGGGCUAAGUGCUAAGGGAAGGCUUGGAGAUGUGGCUGGAAGAGAGGUAGGUGACGGGACCGAGGCUCUCAAAGCCACGUCCGAACCGGCCCUGCUCAGACAGGACAGCUGUUGGGAAGUCCCCCACCCUGAGCCUGCGAGACUUCGUGUGCGGGCUCGGGCUCUGCCAAGGCCGGCUGCAGCAGGACGUGGAGCGGAAACGUGCACACGCUGUACUCUGUAUCGGUACGCCUGUUUUAACCCAGGCAAGCUCCUCGUGCUGCUCUCGAGUGCAGUGUCUACCCAAAACAAGAAGACCGUCAUUCCCGCACUUGGCUUUUCCCAUCCAUAAACUUCAAAGCACUUCACAGAGGGAAGAAGCAAGGCACGGAGUGCGAAGAUGAAGGAGAACCCCCCCGGCCUCCAGCACAGCAUGGCGUGCUGGGGCUGCCCGUCAGCUCUCAGCCCCGCUGCCUUACAUGGCCAUGCUGGGAGCGCGCUCUUGGCUGCUUCUAGCACUCUGACUCAGCCGCACACAAAUUAUCCCAACAAAAAGUAAGUUGAAUCUAAUCAACAACGAACGUUAAGCAAUUCUGACCUCGCCCAAAUUUUCUGGCAGAGCUCGCACUGUUCCAAUCUGAUUUAUUUUUAAGUCUCUAAUUGACUUUUAAGAAGGCCUCCUCUCCUGAGCCAAUUACCCAGGCCGAUCUCCAGAGGCUCCACUCCUCACACUAAGGACAAAGCUGCUCCUCACUGCCUUUGGGCUGCAGGUCGUGCUGUCCCAGAGGAGCCCCGUGCAGCAGAGACAGGCUGCCCCGCGCCUCAGGGAGCUCCUGGCAUCCCAGCAGGAUGGGGAAGUGUCUGGCUGGAUGUGUCUGUGGCGGACACGGUGCUGGCACCAUGUGAGUCCCAGGGGAGAUGCACGGGGCUUGGGCCACUGCAGGGCCCAGCAGCUCUGGGCAGUGGCUGCUGGAACAGAGCCACUGUGCCCUCAGCCAGGACAGCACUACCUCUUUUCAGGAGCAGGAGGUUAAUCCAGUCACACCUGCAGAUCAUGGCUGGGAAAACUCAGUGUGCAAUCAUGGGAGCACAGCACUCUCCCAGCACAGCCCAGCAGGUCCAAGGUUGCCUUUCUGGCCACGGACUGAGCUACAAAACCCAAAGUCCAUCGCUCCCUGCAAAGCAAGCAGCUGCCCAGCCAUCCUCUGAAGACCUUUUCAUUCUUCUCAACCAACAUCGCUGAAAUCUCCCCAUACCCUUCUGGGCCUUCAUGCACUCACUGAAAGGCUGUCCUCCCUGCCACAGCUGCUGCAUGGCACCUCCUGCAGUGAACCCAGAAUUCAGAGUCUCCUCUACGACCUCUUCCCAAUCUGCAUACAGCUUUCCCAUCUAGUGCCAAGCUCCAGCUGUGGGGUCACCUACAAAACCUCCUUGACCUUCCAUACCUCUAUCUCACAGAAGGUUCCCAACCUGUGGCUGUGGCUCUUUCCUGGCUUCUUGAAACUAGCAUGCAGGGACUGCCGUCUGUUUCCUAAAGUCACUCUACCUGCAGGAUCUGCCAUCCCGUCCCUUACCGAGCCCCACUUCUGACUUUGGUCUUUAUAUCAGCAGAACACGUCCUUACAGUCAGGACAAGGCAGCUGUAUGAGCAAUGCCAGGCUUGCAGCCACGCCACGAGGUGGGCUUUCGCCCUGUGCUCAAGCCACUGUCAUGAUGCUACACGAGGACCACCAGUGUGGGCAGUUUGGCUGUGCCCCACUGAUGGCAGCCUUCUACCCCAGUUGGUUGGAGAACGCCCAUCCUGCAGGGAGAAAAGCAGGAACCCAACCCUCAAGCAAACAGCAAGCAGAGCAAAGAGCAUACAUCCACGUCUGAGGCAACCGAGGUGACGCUGAUUUUCUUGCCAAUGACCUAAUGUCUCAGGGGAUUUUUUAGUGUACUUCCUAAGUGACAUUUCAGUUUGGCUUGAAGAAACACGGAGAUAAUAAUUUUACUUUAGAUGUAUUUCCAACUCGAGAACCAGUCUGCACUUAAGGAAUAAUGAUCAAAUUUGGUAUUGUAUGAGCAUCUCCAGCGUGCCUGGCAUGAGUCACCAUGGAGCGGGCCCAGGGCAAGAGCAGCCCUGCCAGCACAGCACAGCCACCAGCACCCACAGCGCCUGCAGCACAGCCCUGAUCCUGAUGGGCGCCCGCUUGGUGGGAGGCAAGGGCCCCACAGCUGCUGCCAGGGCCUCAAGGCAGGGUCCGGCAGAAAUAAAGUGCUUCAAGAGCAGUUCUGCAAUGAAAGAACUGAAGAUAGUCCACAUGUGGGGUUUACAUGCCUCACUCCUUGGUCCCAAAUACUCCUUAACAAAACCAUUUCUCUUCUGACCCCCAAAUAUUCCAGCUCCGGGCCCUUAUUACUCUUUUACCAGUCACAAAUACAUCUCUGGGCCCAAAUUCUCCUCCACGUGUGCAUGAGCCAUGCUUCUCUGUGCCCACACCCUCCUGCCCAGGGCCCUACUCCUUCCCUGCCUCUAGCUUUUCCCUCUCUGAGCCCCAUACUUCCUUCUCAAAGCCAAACACACUUCUCCUGGAUCUGAACACUCACUGUUUCACCUCGAUAUCCCUUCUCUGGCUGAGAGCUCAGAGCACUGCAGGAAGAACUGGAGCACCUUCCUGCACUGCAAUGCAGCGUGUUGCUGCAGGAGCUCCAACCUCCACCUUGCCACAAGGAGCUUGCCUAGCACCGUGGGGCAACAACAAGCUGUCAGCCCAGCAGAGCCUGCCCUAAGGGUGCCCACCAGCCCUCACUGCCAGCGGGGAUGUAUGUGCGCGGGGGAACCCUGCUCCUUGAGACUACUCAGCCAGGUGCCCAUUGGACCCAGCCAGGGGCAUUCUGUUGAGCCCCCAUGUUACCCAGAUCCCAUUGCCACGUGAGACACCUGCUGCAAGCAAUUCAGAAAUGCCUACCACAAACCACUUGUUCCCUAAAAAGGGCCAUGGCAGACCUGGAUUAAUUCCUGCAGCAUGGAUGGGGCAGGGAGCCCGGACCGAGGCAGCGAGGUGCACGGGGCAGCCCAGCACUGCCUCGUGGUUCUGGUGCCCCACACGUGAGGCUCUGUGCCCGGUGCCUCCGCCCAGCACACCCAGCCUGCCUAAUAUUGCUGCUAAGAAUGUACCAGUCCGGAUCUUCGGCUGAGCUAAAUAAAUGCGGCUCCCUCCACUGGUCUCAGUGGAGUGACUUUGAUUUACGACAGCUGAGAUCUGGGCUGGUUCAUUCCUUGCAAAAUUGAAGUUGGGCUGGGAGGACACUUGAAGGUCAGCCAGGCCGGCCUCCAAGCGUGGGCAGAACUGGUGCUGCUGUCCUCGUCCAGCAGCUGCGCCCAGCCGGCUCCCAGAUCGUCCGGCAGCCCCGCCGACAUCGCUGCGCCCACAGACAGGGUCACUGGGACAGGCUGAGGGGACCCGGUGGGGAGGGCUCACCGCGUUGGCAGCUGGGCGUGCUUCCUGCCUGCAAGGUCAAGAUUGAAGUGUGGUCCCAGAACGUUGCGUGCUGAGGGAUGCCAGAGCCUUGGUCUGGGCCGUGAGGGUGCAGGAGCUGAGGCUGCCUGGCCUCGCAAGGAGCUGCGCACCACCACUGCCACCACAGGAGCUGGGAGUCACAGCUUGCAGAGCCCUUCCCCAGCACAGACCCCAGCCUGGCACCAAGUACCCCCACAGCCCCUUCCGUGCCCCUGUGGUGCUGCUGCUGCAGCAGGAGGCAUCCUGUGAGCAGUGAGGUAAGCACUGUCCCUUCGGUGUCUCUGGAGCCAUCUUGGUCCUAUGCCUUGACAGAGGAAUAGGAAGCUGAGUCUGCCUUCAGCAAACAACCAUCCAUGGCUAGAUCCUGCUACCCUCAGCUGCUUGGUACCACUUGGACACAACCAGUUUUAUGCAGAAACCUUGCGUGGCCUCUGUACCACUGUGCUCCUGCCCUCAGUGUCCCAAAAAAAGAGAAGCCCAGCCCAGAGCUCAGCUCUUUUCCCCCAGAAUGCCUCCAGGAUGAUCCUGGAGUGAUGACCCACCACACAGCAGAUGCAGUGUCCCACCCUUCUCUCUUGACUACAGGCACCAGAGGUGACAGAAAGCAAAGAUCCCCACAUGCCCAUCCCAAGCUAAGCCUAUCAGGAUAACACAGGCUGCAGCCAGAAGUAAUACAGGUUUGGUUGGACACUCAAGAGAAAGCCAAGCUGCUUUUCCCUUCCCAUGGCCCACUGGAGAAGCCUGGAAGCGUUCAGGACCCUCUGGCAUUGCACAAGACGUCAUUGGGCAAGAGGAGAUCUUGUGGGGAGGCAACCUAAGCAGGAAGCUCAGCACUGGUGUGACCGACACGCCAAAUUCCCUGAGAGCCAUCAGCUCCCGACUUGGGCCACUGGGAUGGAUGUGGCAUCUGGACUGGACUUGAUCAUGCUCCAGGUGAGCACACCCCAGAAAAAGGAAAAUCUGCCCGCCAACUGGCUGAACCCUAAGUGCCUCAUCCCAAGACCUUGCUGGGAGAGGGAAGAGUACAAGAAAGGCAGUGUAUCAGCCUAGACGUGGUCUCACAUAUAGCCAGGACGGAAGAGGUGGGGCUGAGCAUCCUGGCCCGCUUUCCUGCUCCCCAGCAGCACUGGUUAGGCUGUGGCUACAAAACAUGCAGCACAGGAUUAGACUUGAUGCUGAGCUGUGGUGGCCCAGGUGGGCAGUAAGCAAUUUUGGUCACUCACCUCAUGUUGGAGGCCAAGGGAGUACCAAAGCUGUCCUCUGAGCAGCAAGGGCUGUGCCGAGCACCCUUCCUUCGCCUCCCCCUCUCCUCCUCCCUCUCAGUCCAGGGGGCAUCUGUGGCUGAACUGGUCCCAGAGUCCGGCUCCAAGUGAGCCAGAGGAGCAAAGUUCUCCUCGAUCAGCUUCGCACUGUCUCGGAUCUGUCCCUGAACUUCUGGGGUGAGGGCUGGGAGAUCAAAAGUGAAAAAGGUCCCAUGAGUGCGGGCUGGGGAGGAGAGGAUGUCAAUGGAGUCCAGGCUGGUGUAAGAUGUGCCUUUGGCUCGAUGGGACUCCAUGAUGCUCUCAAAAUGCUUGCUGAAAGAGUCCAUGCCAUCCUUGGAGAGGCUGUGCCCUAGCAGGAAGGGCACUGGAGACUUGAGCAUGCCCUGUGUGUCUCGAUCCAUGAUCCUAGAGGGAAAGAAAGCAAGAGGAACUGGUCACUGAGGAGCAAGAGGUCGAAGCCCCAAACAAAAGCCCAUGCAUUGCUCCAGAAGGAAAGUGGGGAGGGCAGAAGUCUCCUCUGAACAUCUGAGUACACCAGGCCUCCAAAGGAAAUGCCUUGCCUACCCAAGACAGCAUGGGAAGAGGGCUGUGCUGGCCUCCCUCCAGCCAUAUGCCUCUCUUUUAAUGCGCCAUGGACUUUUGUUCCCUUAGUGGCUCAUCCUCCUAAGAAGCUUACGAGAUGGCUACUGCUCCCAGCCACUCGGCUUGAGCUUAGAUCCAAUAAACAGCUCAGGCACCAAAAACAGGAUGUAGUUCAGCUCCACUUCCAAACAAAUCCACAAGUGCCUGAAUUUUCCAUGAGCCUUCAGAGCUCCCGGCACCCACAGCACUCCUGGAGCCACCGAGGACAGCGUGACACUCCUCUGCAUAUGUGACACCACAGCCACUGAGCCAAGCCCGCCCUCAAGGUCAGCAUAAGCAGCAGCUCCCCACGUUUGUUUUGAAGGAGGAGGAAAGAGCAGGAUGGUCUGAUGGUAGUGAGAGCACCUCAAAGGGACCGGGCUGCCUUCAGACUGGCUGACCUCCUCCCUGCCGAAGCACUGUGCUCUCUGAGCCCUGCCAAACCUCUGGGCACGGAUCACCCUGCAGGAGGCUCAGCUUGUCUGCAGCAUGGCUCUGCGUCCAGCCCAGCGCAGGAGUUCCUACAUCUCGAACCCCUGAGCAUUUCAUCCUAGGGAUGAGCCUGCCCAUCAGUCUGAGCGUGUGACACAGGGAUAUUUCCAACACACUGUCAGCCCUUCAGUCCUAUAAGCCCAAACACAACCCUAAAAGCCUCUUUCACUCACAAGCUGCUAUCACUUUAUUAGAGCACCAAAAAAGCACUUGUUAUGCCAUUCUCUUUCCUGAUUAAAUGCGAAGAACUGAUCCAGCUUGUCAUAACAUUUGUUAUGAACAAACAGCUUCUUACAGAAGGCUCAGAAAAUGCAGCGCUGUUACAAGCACUGAGUGAUUUAUCAUUUAUUAGCCUUCAUAUCCUGCUCCAAAGUCUCACAGAUUAUUGCAGCGGGCUCUGAGCUGACAGCCUCACUGCACCAGAAUGUGGAGGGCUUCAGGGGGCACCCAGCGAGGUGGGUAAGUAGGGGACACACAUCCCAGAGACCGAUAACCGUGCUGCAUUACAUGCUGACAACUCAGCCAGCACUUCUGGGUACCGCGUGGGGCUGAGCAACCCGACCUCAGCAGCCACAUCAGCAGAGGGGAAGGGGCUCCCGUGUCCCCCAGCACAUCGGCAUCCACGUGCCGGUGUCCCAUCUGGGAAGGCUGCCCUAGCGGCAGACCCGAGGGCUGUGCCGGGCGAUGCUGUGCUCCCAGGGGGGACAGGGGCUCCUACCCGCAGCCAGCCCUCGCACACCGGGCAGCGGGGCACGGUGCUGCAGAGCCGGCUCUGGCUCACUCAGCAGCGCUGCCUCCGGCUUAGUGCCCCCCCGAGGACACUCGAGAAGGGGGAGAGGAGCCCGCUCUCGCUGACAGGUCUCUGCGCUCUGGGACUAAUGGGAAUAAAGACAGCAAAGGCUUAGACUGGUCAUUAGUCGUAGAGCCGGCUCUAAAUAUAUUCAGGGAGUGGAUUCUGGAAGAAGACACUGUUUCUUAUGUCACUUUCCACGUCUUGUUUGAUUUUGUAUCGGAUUUUUCAUCCCGAUGUCCUGUUGCACGGUCUCUUAUUUUAGGAGAGCAGAUGACAACGAAGGUACCCUUUGGCAAGAAUAUAAAGGGCAACAAAGUAGUGCUGAGCCAGCCUUCCCUGCGCAGAGGGUGCUAAAUCCCUAAGGCUAGAUUUUCAAAGGGAUUUACAUGUCUAAAUGCUGCAAAUCAGCAUCCGAUGGUGUCUCAACGAUUUUGCAGGGCUGCUCCUUCCCAUCUACCAGCAAAGCGCUCUGCAGAGAAGGACUGGCUGGGAUGGAAGCCUCUGGUUUGCAACAGCUCCUGCAGUGCAAAGCAGUGCCGGCUCUUGGAAGAUGGGGUGGCUUUUAAUGACCCCAGCAUCACCGCAUCGCCCCUCCUGUGAGCAGACAAAGCAGAAAGCUUGAAGCAGAAAACAUCAAUACUGGUGACUGGUAAACAGGAGGGAGGGCUGCAGCUGCAGAGCUCUCUCCGAAGCGGUGCGUAAGCAAAGCCCAGGCUGUGAUGCGGGCACUGAACCAACUCGCUAUUUCAGAGUGGUGAUUUUUGGCACUGCUGUCAGCAGGGUCUGUGCCUCGCUGGGAAUAGCCAGCGCUCUGUCUGCACAUCAAAAAAACCUGAAAGCCACCAGCCUACAAGGAAGCUGCAUGAAAUGAGCAGGACAGUGCCGGAUGCACCGCGGUAGUUAUGCCAGGAGCGCCGUGUUGAGGGCAGCGAUGCGCUGAGGCACACACCCGAGCUUUCUGGCCAUGCCUGGGGAACUCCAGCACGGUGUCCCAGAGGGCAAAAGGCUUACAGCCCAUGGAUGCGUAAUGGGCCCACAGGUGUUUGGAAAUUAAUUAUCACCUGGUAAAAGAAUUGUUACAGUAACUUGAAUAACUUGCUUGGAGUGAUAAUAUGACUUACAAAGCUUGUUCACAUUCUCUAUCACAAUUCAUUUGGGAAAAAAAUGCAUUUCCCUCCUGGGAAACCCGCAGGAUCCCAGCUGCCUGUGCAACGUGCACCUUCCCAUCCACAGCAGCCCACCUCACAUGCUUCUCCCUCCACUGCAGGGUACCACUGCAGGUUACUUCAUCAACUGUUCCCACUCCCAACACCAACCCCCCUUCUCCUUUUCUGAGCAUACUGCCAGGCAGCUCUCUGUCCCAGCACAGAGGAAUCACUCAGCUCCGCUCCCCAGCAUCACUUUCCCUUCACUGCAGAGCAUUUGCAGAUGAAGCAGAGGCUCUUGUCCCGUCCGAUGCCCAUCACUACCCUAGUACAGAGUAUUUUGCCACACAAGCAAGAAACAACACAAAACACAAAUCCUUUCAACCCGGUGACCCAUGGCACUGUACCCAGGUGCUGGGCUCAUAAGGUGACCUGAUCAUAGGACUCAUUCCCAGCAGAGUGGGUCCUGUGGUGCAGUGCUCUGCGCUGGACACCAGCACCACCCUGCUCCUUCCAUGGGGCAGCGAGGGACCCCCUCAGCCCUGUGGGACAAUGAAUAACCACUUCAACCACCUCCUGUGGCUCAGGCACAGCUACUGAGGGUUCUGGCUUGGGCUCUUGUUUGUCAGAGCCCCUUUGUCACGGAUGUGGGAUACCGAGGAGGGUGAGGGGAGUUCUCUGCCCUCCCACGCUGAACCUCACCUUUCCCUGCUCUCCUUCCUCGUGGCCUCAAACACCUCAUCGUCCUCAUCCGCAUCUCCAUCACGUAGUCCAUCCUUUGUGUGCUGGAUGCUGUGCUCAGGGUUCCCCUCAGGCAUGCUGUCUCUCCUGCCUGGGGUCCCUGCAAAGCUGGGGUUGCUCUCGCUGUCCUUCUGGCUUUCGAUAGCAGAAUCCACCUCAUCCCUCUCAGCCAGGAUGUCAUCAAUGUUGGUUUCGCGGUAGCAGCGCAGCGGCACGGUGUCCAGAUCUGUUUCGGAGUACUUCACAGCCCUCCUGAUGAUGCCCGUCUCACAGGAGCCCUGCUGCCUGCCACCUGCUGGGGACACCUCGAUCUCCACCUCCACGUGGCUCAGGCCAUGCUCGGGAAGUGAGCUGGGUGGCUCCACAGGCAGCGGGUGACUGGGCUGCAGUGGAGGCUCAGUGACGGGGGCUGAGGAGCCUGGAAGAAAGCCCAGAGCCCCUGUUCAAUCCCAAAUCCCAGCGGGUUGGGGCUCUGCAUACCCACAGUAUCCCUGCCUGAUGCCUUACCUGUUUUCGGGGCACCCAGUGAGCCAUAGAAAAACUCCCACUUGGCACGGGCGAUGCGCUGGGCAUGGGCUGAGCUCUGCCGGGGGCACGGCCAGGCACUGCCCUGCAAGGACACAGUGGUCAGUGGGGCCGGGCUGGAUGUAGUCCAGUGUGGGGCCACGGGCACCUACCUGGAGCCAGGGGCUGGUGGGGACGUCCCGUGGCGGGGCCUGCAGCCCGUUGGUGAGGGAACUGGAGAGGCAGCUGGUGGUGAGGGAAUGGGCAUCCCUUCUGCCUUCGUGGGGACGUGUCUCCCCCGGGGACCUGCAGCUGGCCAGGAGCGGGUCAGAUGCGGAGGCCUCCAGCUUCAGACUGCGGAGCAGCUGAUCCUGGGGCCGGGGCUGCCCAGGGGGCACACGCCAACCUCCGCCGGGCUCUGCGGGGCCAUUCUCCUGGGGCCCGCUGAGGGGCCGCACGCUGGCCUUCUCGAUGAAGCGGAAGGUGACGACGGAGCUGCGUCCCUCCGGGGCCACCAGUGGGCUGCGGCUGCCGGGCGAGGUGAGACCUGGGGCGGGAUGGCCCCUCCGUGGGGUGCAGGGGGCCGUCAGCCGCCCCCCACCCAGGCAGCCCCCGUUGCCAAAAGGCCCCAUCUCUGUUGGCUUGCGAGCCAAGGAGCCGGUGCUGUUGUAGAGGCCAGGUGGGCAGCGGCGGGUCUCAGGGGCCAGGCCCUUGCGCAUGAGGUGUAGGCGACCAGCGUUGAGGUUGGGGGUGAGGCAGCGUGGGGGGCUGUGCCGGCCUGGCUCAGGGCUGGAGGAGAUGGGUGGCCAGGGCCUGCGGUCCCCAUGGUGGGAGAAAGGCGGGGGCGAGGCGGUGCAGCCCUCGGCUGGGGGCAGGCGGACAAGGCCCCCCGCCUGCGCCAUGCUGACAGGGUGAGCACAGGUGUCAGGGCUGGAGCUGGACAGAGCGAGGCAUCCUCAGGCAGCCCUGGAGGGCAAGGAGAGGCGAUUAGAGAAGGGGAGCAAAGAUGGGGGAAUGCAGACAUCGUGAUGUUGCUUGAAAGUGGCUGUAGGUUGGAGACCGGCCUGAGCAUCUGGGGACAGGUGGCCUGAGAAGUGCUGCUGUCCCUGGCUCCCCUUGCUCCUCCAGCACUGUUCUACAGACCAGCAGCAUACAGAUGCAGGGGGAACACAUGCUGCGUGCAUUGAAAUUGGUUUCAUUUAGCCUGACUUAGGCUGAAUAGUUUACUACCUGUAGCCACCUAAUAUCCCUCCAUAAGGGGAAAAAAAAGAUAUAUGGGAUCGCUGAGAUAUCCCCAGACUGAAGGAAUUUGAUACCAGCAGCCCAAGGAAGAAGCCCAUCUCUUUUGGAGGUCAGUUUGUGUUUUAAAGUGUGUCACCCGUCACAUGCCGCAGCCGCAAUCUGUGGCACAGACAGAGCUGUCAGCACCGGCGGAUCCAAACAGAGGCAGCUGAGACAGCCCUGCCUGGGGGCCGAGCGCGCCUGAGCCAGCAGCACGGCUCGGGACGUUUCCCGUCGGGACACCCAUCACCCCAGGGCGGUGAGACAGCACGGGAUGGGAGGACACGGCGCCUGGCGGCCCUGCGGGCAGCACUGCCAGCUCUGCUCUCUCAGCACAGCUCACACUCGGACUCUUCCCCCAAGUCCUCUGAGCUGCCGGUGUGCAGGAAGGGCUUUUGAUUCCCCGUGAGUGCAGAGGUACCGAUUCCUGCACUUGCAUCUCAGCACUUGAAAGCAAAAACCCAAAUGUCAGCGGAGGAAAGCGUGUUUUCUUCUCCCAGCUUCUGAGAGCAAACCAAACAGGGUUAAACUGAAGGCCGCAGGACUGGAUUUUCAGCGGUGUUUAGGCUGAGGAGAUGCGGAGACAUAACUCUUAAUAAAAUAGCCAAAAUCACCCACAUGGGGCAGACGUCUCUAUCUGCACUACUACACUUGCAGAACACGUGGCUCCUACGGAGCAGCAAUCCAUAACCCACCGCCUGAACAAAACACUCUCCCGUUUAAGAUGUCGGUUACUGUUUUUAUACUCUUUUCUCCUGUUAUGGUUGUAUUCCCGUUCAAGGUUGCUUAACUGAUAAAUAACACCAAUGCUGGCUUAUA